UGUACGUUUGUCCCUCGAUACCGUCCAUCAAACAUUUUGGCCACUAUGUCCAGCCUAGUAUGAAGUCUAUCUCCUUGGAUUAGGAAUACCAGCAUGCCCAAGAAGCACACAAUGAACAAAAAGACCCUACGAUCCUAAAGAGGUGAUUGAGAACUCAUCAUCCAAAAUACGAUAAGAGCUACUGUGACCGUAUCUUUUGUAAAGGAAAUCAAAAGGUAUGUAGGAGUUUUUCAGGCACUCCAAAUAAUCAUUUUUCUUCAACCCCAUCUU
rnacentral:lncRNA from 1 species